GUGUCUCUCAGAGCAUAUCACUGUAAUCAUUCUGAAGGCUUGAGUUCAUGUGUGUGUGUGUGUGUGUGUGUGUGUGUGUGUGUGUGUUUACAGUGUGAUGUGUUCGGAUGUGUCCCGUAUGACGGACAGCGAGAGAGAUCAAAUCGACCAGGAUGCGCAGAUCUUCAUGAGGACCUGCGCAGACCAUCGACCAGCUGCGAUCUGACAAGGGCAAACAGGUGGUCUCAGCACAGGUGAGGGAUCAUCGUGCAGCAGUGCUGGAUCUGAUCGAGGCAUAUCUCAAAGGUGUGUGCAAGCUGUAUUCUGAACAGAGAGCUGUACGUGUGAAGAGAGUCGUGGACAAAAAGAGAUUGUAAGUAUAACACACACAUGAAUAAACAUUACUGUAAACACACACGUCAUCAUGUCAUUCCUUCUGUUACACACUGUAACAUGUUUCAUUCUUUCAUUUUCAACUGUUAAUCAUUUUGAAACAUGUAAAGCAGGCAGAGUUGCUCUUACAGUAGAACUCAACACUGAUUACGGUCAGACUUUCAGAAUCCUUCAUCACUUGAAUUAAGAUUAUAAUCAUUUGAUUUUAAAGCACAGCUGCCACAACAUCAGACUUUAGCACCACUUUUUACUUUGAGAUCAUUCUGAGGUUAAA